CUUUGCCAGUAGGUCAUAGUGUUAUUAUUCAUAUGCCCUUACUAGCACAAAGAUCACUGUCUUGUUUUUAUUUAAUUAUUUUUGUCAUUUAAGAACACUUCACUGUAAGGGCAAAUAAUUAAACAGGCUUUCAGAAUAGAAAGGUAGGCACAACCCACAGAGGGUUCUCUCCCAUACUCUUUUCUUUCGUUUCAGUCUACUAUAUCAAAUGGACACAGCUCAAUUCCUAGACUGUAAGAUCCAAAAAGCUUGUUGGGAUAAUUUAGUUUGCUUUCUGCACACCUGCAGUCAGAAAUUUUCUCCAGAGAAGCACAGAAUUACAGGAAGAAGUGGAUUUGGAGCAGAGAGUGCUUGUGGCUGUAGAAGGUGUUGAGAGCUGUUGUAAGCACUCCCAAAGGUUAACCAGGAUGAACCACCUCAGUGUCACAGUUUCUUUUCACAGGACAAGUGCUCCAGAGCCCUGAGCAUCCUGCAGACCCUCUGCUGAAGUCACACCAAAAUUGAUGCAGUACCCUGGAUACGAUCCAUUGAGUACUGAGAGGAUGGGAAUAAUCAUGUCCAUCAACCUUCUGGCUGUACUUCUGUUCAUACAGCCUAGGAUGUUUUUGACCCUUCUGCUGGCAGGGCUCAGCUAACUGACCAUCAGGACCCUGAGAACCUUUUCUGCAGUGUCCACCCAGCCUGGAUUGCUGUGAGAGCUGAGUAUGUUUGUACAUAAUUAGUUAUCCUCUUGUACCUUUAGGAUGGCAGCCUAUGGUGAAACUUAUUCUUUUUUACCUUUUUUAUUUUUUUUUUUCCUAGAAUAGCUAAUCUUAGAUUUGGCCUAUUUGUUUUUGAUUUUGUUUUUUUGCAUAUUCACCAACUUUGGGCUUAUCUCAAAAUAAAUAAAACAAUAUUCUAAUUAUUGAA